UGCAUAUCCAAAAAGCGGAGGAAAAGAAACCAACAGGGAUUGCCCUAGUAACGGCGAGUGAAGCGGCAACAGCUCAAAUUUGAAAGCUGGCUCCGGCCCGCAUUGUAAUUUGCAGAGGAUGCUUCUGGUGAGGUGCCUUCCGAGUUCCCUGGAACGGGACGCCAUAGAGGGUGAGAGCCCCGUAUGGAUGGACACCAAGCCUGUGUGAAGCUCCUUCAACGAGUCGAGUAGUUUGGGAAUGCUGCUCUAAAUGGGAGGUAAAUCUCUUCUAAAGCUAAAUACCGGCCAGAGACCGAUAGCGCACAAGUAGAGUGAUCGAAAGAUGAAAAGCACCUUGAAAAGGGGGUUAAACAGUACGUGAAAUUGUUGAAAGGGAAGCGCUUGUGACCAGACUUGCGCCGGGCAGCUCAUCAGGGGUUCUCCCCUGUGCACUCUGCCCGGCUCAGGCCAGCAUCGGUUCUCGUGGGAGGAUAAGAACGGUAGGAACGUGGCCCCCUUCCGGGGGGGUGUUAUAGCCUACCGUACGAUACUCCCGUGGGGACCGAGGUUCGCGCUCCGCAAGGAUGCUGGCGUAAUGGUCAUCAGCGACCCGUCUUGAACCACGGGACCGAAA
rnacentral:rRNA from 1 species